UACGUAGGGUGCGAGCGUUGUCCGGAAUUAUUGGGCGUAAAGGGCUCGUAGGCGGUCCAUCGCGUCGGGAGUGAAAAGCUGGGGCUUAACUCCAGUCCUGCUUUCGAUACGGGUGGACUAGAGGUAGGCAGGGGAGAAUGGAAUUCCCGGUGUAGCGGUGAAAUGCGCAGAUAUCGGGAAGAACACCCGUGGCGAAGGCGGUUCUCUGGGACGGUACUGACGCUGAGACGCGAAAGCGUGGGGAGCGAACAGG
rnacentral:rRNA from 1 species